CCCUUAGAUGUUCUGGGCCGCACGCGCGCUACACUGACGAUGGCAACGAGUUUUUCCUUCGCCGAAAGGUGUGGGUAAUCUUUUGAAACAUCGUCGUGCUGGGGAUAGAUCAUUGCAAUUUUUGAUCUUGAACGAGGAAUUCCUAGUAAGCGCGAGUCAUCAGCUCGCGUUGAUUACGUCCCUGCCCUUUGUACACACCGUCCGCCGCUACUACCGAUUGAAUGGUUUAGUGAGGACUCCUGAUUGGCGCCGCCGCCCCGGCAACGGAGCAGCGGACUGCCGAAAAGUUGUUCAAACUUGAUCAUUUAGAGGAAGUAAAAGUCGUAACA
rnacentral:rRNA from 1 species